GGACGCGAAGCGCAUCCAGUUUGCGUUAGAACAGUGUUUGCCUCCAGCACGAGAUCGAGAGAGACGCCCCCUCCUAGGGGAGCAAAUCCUCCUCUUAAUCAGCGGGUCCUAGGUUCGAGCCCUAGUGCGUCCACCA
rnacentral:tRNA from 1 species